UGUGUGGCAGAAGGGAGGGAUGAGAGUGGGUUCAAAGACUUGAAUUAAGGCAAAGAGCCCCACAUUGUAAUAUUUCAGAUUUGAAAAUAGGAUCUGAUUAAAAAGGUUGUCCAAUUAGUUUUACAAGGAAAGUGACCGAGGACUUCAAGAGGUUCUGUUGGAACAGUAGUUAUCCUGCUUUCUAGAAGUAGGACUUGGCCGGGCAUGGUGGCUCAGGCCUGUAAUCCCAGCACUUUGGGAGGCCGAGGCGGGCAGAUCACUUGAGGUCAGGAGUUCGAGACCAGCCUGACCAACAUGGUGAAACGCUAUCUCUACUCAAAAUACAAAAAAAUUAGCCAGGCCUGGUGGUGGGUGCCUGUAAUCCCAGCUACUCAGGAGGCUGAGGCAAGAGAAUCACUUGAACCCGGGAGACAGAGGUUGCAGUGAGCCGAGAUCACGCCACUGCACUCUAGCCUGGGCAACAGAGUGAGACUCUGUCUCAAAAAAAAAAAAAAUAGAAGUAGGACUAGAAAAACUAGGGCAGUGCUUCUGAAACUUGAGUGCACGUGAAAAUCACGUGAGGAUCUUGUUAAAACAGUCUGAUUCAGUAGUUCGGGAGUAGGGCCCAAGAGGCAGCAUUUCUCACAGUCUAAUUAGUAGAUGUUGAUGCUGCCAGUAUGUGGACCACACUUUUUGAGUAUUACUGAGCUAGAGUAAUGGUCAAAUGGAAAAUUGGAUGGGUCACAUUGCAGAAAAAUGAAGACAGCUGUUGCAUGAACCACUGCUUAAUUUAAAUGUAAAUAUCAAUGUACUGCUCUAAGUGGCCGUGAAAGCAAUAGGUGUUGCCAUAGUAAUUGCUAAAAUGUGUGUCUGAUUUCCAAGGGUUGGAAAUUUUCUCAUGUAUAUGAUUAAAAAGCCAAUUUGAUACCACCCAAAGCAAUGUAUAGAUUCAAUCCAAUCACUACCAAAAUACCAAUGACAUUCUCAACAGAAAUAGGAAAAACGAUCCUAAAAUGUAUAUGGAACCACAAAGGACCCCAAAUAGUCAAAGCAAUCCUGAGCAAAAAGAACAAAGCUGGAGGCAUCAUACUACUGGACUUCAAAAUAUACUACAAAGCUGUAGUAGCCAAAACAGCAUGGUACUGACAUAAAAACAGACAUCAACCAGUGGAACAGAAUAGAGAACCCAGAUGGCCGGGCACAGUGGCUCAUGCCUGUAAUCCCAGCAC
rnacentral:lncRNA from 1 species